UACGUAGGUGGCAAGCGUUGUCCGGAAUUACCGGGCGUAAAGCGCGUGUAGGCGGUUGCCAAAGUCGGGUGUGAAAGCCUUGAGCUCAACUCAAGAAUUGCACUCGAUACUUGGUGACUAGAGGACCGGAGAGGAUAGUGGAAUUCCCAGUGUAGUGGUGAAAUACGUAGAGAUUGGGAAGAACACCAGUGGCGAAGGCGGCUAUCUGGACGGUUUCUGACGCUAAGACGCGAAAGCGUGGGGAGCAAACAGG
rnacentral:rRNA from 1 species